GAUGCCAAGGAUGUUGCAUGCAAAAGAAAGUGAUUGAUCAAUGUUUCUAAUCAGCUGAGCUGAAGAUUAAAAUACUAAUUAAAAUGUUACUCUUCUAGAAGAAAUAAGAGAAACCAGAGAAACAUCAUAAAAAUUUAUUAUCUAUUCUUGUCUUUAAACACCUGUAUUCAAAGAGAAAAAAUGAAAGCAUUAAAAAAGCAAUUAGGAGCAGCAAUGCUAGCAAAAAGAACAAGAAAAAGAACAAAUGGCAAUUGAGAAACAGAAAAACUGGGCAGAAGAACACCGUUUAAUGUGGACAGCUGAAGAGUGAUAUGCUUUGCUCUUGAGAACAUUGCUUAAAGGCAUCUAUGAAGAACUGUGAACUGCUGCAAACCAUUUGCUUACAGAGGUGCUGCUGGGAAUGGGAAUGACUUGUUCACUGACAGGCAAUGCAUGAAGAGUUUGUCCACAUUAGGUGCACAAACCUGUCC